rnacentral:tRNA from 1 species
AAGGUAGUAGCUCAGUGGUAGAACACUUGUCUAAUAUACAAAAGGUUCUGGGUUCAAUUCCCAGCAAUGCUA